rnacentral:rRNA from 1 species
UUAAGUGACUAAGCGUACACGGUGGAUGCCUGGGCAGUCAGAGGCGAUGAAGGACGUUACAACUUGCGAUAAGCGCAGAUAAGGCAGUAAGAGCCGUUUGAGGUCUGCGAUUUCCGAAUGGGGAAACCCAACUGCAUAAGCAGUUACUGUUAACUGAAUACAUAGGUUAACAGAGCAAACCGGGGGAACUGAAACAUCUAAGUACCCCGAGGAGAAGAAAUCAACCGAGAUUCCGGUAGUAGCGGCGAGCGAACCUGGAUUAGCCCUUAAGCACUCGGUGAAGUAGGUGAACAAGCUGGAAAGCUUGGCGAUACAGGGUGAUAGCCCCGUAACCGACGCUUCAUCGAGCGUGAAAUCGAGUAGGGCGGGACACGUGAUAUCCUGUCUGAAUAUGGGGGGACCAUCCUCCAAGGCUAAAUACUCCUGACUGACCGAUAGUGAACCAGUACCGUGAGGGAAAGGCGAAAAGAACCCCUGUGAGGGGAGUGAAAUAGAACCUGAAACCGUGUACGUACAAGCAGUAGGAGCACCUUCGUGGUGUGACUGCGUACCUCUUGUAUAAUGGGUCAGCGACUUAUAUUCAGUGGCAAGGUUAACCGUAUAGGGGAGCCGUAGCGAAAGCGAGUCUUAACUGGGCGCUCAGUCUCUGGAUAUAGACCCGAAACCGGGUGAUCUAGCCAUGGGCAGGUAGAAGGUUGAGUAACAUCAACUGGAGGACCGAACCGACUAAUGUUGAAAAAUUAGCGGAUGACUUGUGGCUAGGGGUGAAAGGCCAAUCAAACUCGGAGAUAGCUGGUUCUCCCCGAAAGCUAUUUAGGUAGCGCCUCGGACGAAUACUACUGGGGGGUAGAGCACUGUUAAGGCUAGGGGGUCAUCCCGACUUACCAACCCUUUGCAAACUCCGAAUACCAGUAAGUACUAUCCGGGAGACACACGGCGGGUGCUAACGUCCGUCGUGGAGAGGGAAACAACCCAGACCGCCAGCUAAGGUCCCAAAGUAUUGCUAAGUGGGAAACGAUGUGGGAAGGCUCAGACAGCUAGGAUGUUGGCUUAGAAGCAGCCAUCAUUUAAAGAAAGCGUAAUAGCUCACUAGUCGAGUCGGCCUGCGCGGAAGAUGUAACGGGGCUAAGCAAUACACCGAAGCUGCGGCAAUAUCUUUUAGAUAUUGGGUAGGGGAGCGUUCUGUAAGCCGUUGAAGGUGAAUCGUAAGGUUUGCUGGAGGUAUCAGAAGUGCGAAUGCUGACAUGAGUAACGACAAAGGGGGUGAAAAACCUCCUCGCCGGAAGACCAAGGGUUCCUGUCCAACGUUAAUCGGGGCAGGGUGAGUCGACCCCUAAGGUGAGGCCGAAAGGCGUAAUCGAUGGGAAACGGGUUAAUAUUCCCGUACUUCUGACUAUUGCGAUGGGGGGACGGAGAAGGCUAGGUGGGCCAGGCGACGGUUGUCCUGGUUCAAGUGCGUAGGCUUGAGAGUUAGGUAAAUCCGGCUCUCUCUAAGGCUGAGACACGACGUCGAGCUACUACGGUAGUGAAGUCAUUGAUGCCAUGCUUCCAGGAAAAGCCUCUAAGCUUCAGAUAGUCAGGAAUCGUACCCCAAACCGACACAGGUGGUCGGGUAGAGAAUACCAAGGCGCUUGAGAGAACUCGGGUGAAGGAACUAGGCAAAAUGGUACCGUAACUUCGGGAGAAGGUACGCUCUUGAUGGUGAAGUCCCUCGCGGAUGGAGCUGACGAGAGUCGCAGAUACCAGGUGGCUGCAACUGUUUAUUAAAAACACAGCACUGUGCAAAAUCGCAAGAUGACGUAUACGGUGUGACGCCUGCCCGGUGCCGGAAGGUUAAUUGAUGGGGUUAGCGCAAGCGAAGCUCUUGAUCGAAGCCCCGGUAAACGGCGGCCGUAACUAUAACGGUCCUAAGGUAGCGAAAUUCCUUGUCGGGUAAGUUCCGACCUGCACGAAUGGCGUAAUGAUGGCCACGCUGUCUCCACCCGAGACUCAGUGAAAUUGAAAUCGCUGUGAAGAUGCAGUGUACCCGCGGCUAGACGGAAAGACCCCGUGAACCUUUACUACAGCUUGGCACUGAACAUUGAACCUACAUGUGUAGGAUAGGUGGGAGGCUAUGAAGACGUGACGCCAGUUGCGUUGGAGCCGUCCUUGAAAUACCACCCUUGUAUGUUUGAUGUUCUAACUUAGACCCAUUAUCUGGGUUGAGGACAGUGCCUGGUGGGUAGUUUGACUGGGGCGGUCUCCUCCCAAAGAGUAACGGAGGAGCACGAAGGUGGGCUAAUCACGGUUGGACAUCGUGAGGUUAGUGCAAUGGCAUAAGCCCGCUUAACUGCGAGAAUGACGGUUCGAGCAGGUGCGAAAGCAGGUCAUAGUGAUCCGGUGGUUCUGUAUGGAAGGGCCAUCGCUCAACGGAUAAAAGGUACUCCGGGGAUAACAGGCUGAUACCGCCCAAGAGUUCAUAUCGACGGCGGUGUUUGGCACCUCGAUGUCGGCUCAUCACAUCCUGGGGCUGAAGUCGGUCCCAAGGGUAUGGCUGUUCGCCAUUUAAAGUGGUACGCGAGCUGGGUUUAGAACGUCGUGAGACAGUUCGGUCCCUAUCUGCCGUGGGCGUUGGAAGAUUGAAGGGGGCUGCUCCUAGUACGAGAGGACCGGAGUGGACGAACCUCUGGUGUUCGGGUUGUGUCGCCAGACGCAUUGCCCGGUAGCUAAGUUCGGAAUUGAUAAGCGCUGAAAGCAUCUAAGCGCGAAGCGAGCCCUGAGAUGAGUCUUCCCUGACAGUUUAACUGUCCUAAAGGGUUGUUCGAGACUAGAACGUUGAUAGGCAGGGUGUGUAAGCGUUGUGAGGCGUUGAGCUAACCUGUACUAAUUGCCCGUGAGGCUUAACCAU